AUGAACGCUGGCGGCGUGCUUCACCCCUGCCAGUCGAGCGAGAAGUUUUGAAAAGAUUCUUCGGAUGAAAUUUAAAAUGGAAAGCGGCGGACGGGUGAGUAACGCGUAGGCAACCUGCCCCAUACAAAGGGAUAGCAUUUGGAAACGAAUAUUAAUACCUUAUGAAACUUAACUAGUGCAUGCUAGGUAGGUCAAAGAUUUAUCGGUAUGGGAUGGGCCUGCGUCUGAUUAGCUAGUUGGUGAGGUAACGGCUCACCAAGGCGACGAUCAGUAGCCGACCUGAGAGGGUGAACGGCCACAUUGGAACUGAGACACGGUCCAAACUCCUACGGGAGGCAGCAGUGGGGAAUAUUGCACAAUGGGGGAAACCCUGAUGCAGCAACGCCGCGUGAACGAUGAAGGCCUUUGGGUCGUAAAGUUCUGUUCUAGGUGAUGAAAACUGACAGUAACCUAGGAGAAAGCCCCGGCUAACUCCGUG
rnacentral:rRNA from 1 species